rnacentral:lncRNA from 1 species
GUUGCAGCCGCCUCCGCUGCUGCCGCCGGCCGAGCUCUUUGUGACACUUUGUUUGGGACGCAGAGAGGGAAGCACCCCCCAUCCUCUCCCCUCCCCCACCCUCGCUCCCGGAGAGUUUGGGUUCCUUCCCCCUCCUCCAUCAGCCCUACCUGGGCCGGGGGGCGCUCACCCACUCGGGCUCCCAGCUCGGCCGCCCCGCACCCCCAGGCCCCUCGCGCCCUGCCUUCGGGCCCCUACAAAGACGCCCACCGCCCCCCCCCCCCCCAGCUGGCCUUUCCCCUUUGGUGUCCGCUUUCCCGGCUCCCCCACCUGGCCCCCCCCUCCCUCGAGGCCCCCCUAGCUCUCCAGGCUUCCCAGGCCGCCGCCCCCACCCCGCCCCCCCAGGAGCUCUGGGCGAAGUUUGCUUGGGGCCGAGCCGGCGCCCCUCCCCCGCCCCCGCCCCCUGCACCUGCUCCGAGCCGGGCGCGCGGAGCGGGCCCCCCCUCCGGGAGGGGGGGAGGGGGCCGGGGGCGGGGGCCGGGCGGCGGAGGGGGGGCCGGGAGUGGGGGGAGCGGCUACUCACGAGCCCCGGGCGGGCGGCGGCGGAGCGGGCGGCGGCGGCGGCGGCGGGCGGCGGGCCGGCGGCGCGGGCGUCAGCGUUACGUGGGGCCGGGGGAGAUGCGCCGGGCCCCGGCCCCCCCGCCCCCGGCCCGGCCCCCGCCCCCUCCCCGGUCCCCCGCCCCCGGCCCUGGCCCGCAUUGUGUGCGGCGGGAGGCGGCCCGGCCAUUAGCAUGCGGGGGGCGGCGCGGCGGGGCUGGGAGCCGCGCGGGAGCGGGAGCGGGGCUCUGGCUCCAGGGACAGGGAGCAGGGGACCCCGGGAGCCGCGAGAGGCGGCCGCCAGGGGCGGGGUGCGGGCAGUUUGGAGACGGGGGGCGCUGUCAGAGGGAAGGAGGGAGGGAGGGAGCGGGGGUGGGGCGCACAGACGAUUCCAACAGGAGACUGGAAGAGAUUUUGAAAGGUCAUCUCGUCCUUCCCCCAGCCUCCAAGCAGGACUGCCCCUCCCACCCUAAACCCGGACAUACCAGGGAAGGAGUUGGCUCUGCCGCUCUUUCUGCCCCAACAUGCACAGACUCGGGAAGUUCUUCCUGGGGUUUUAUCUCAAAGCCUCUCCCUUACAAUUUCUGUCUCUCUUUUUGGGAGGAGGAGGGGCGAUUAUAG